CUACGGGACGCUGCAGUGGGGAAUUUUGCGCAAUGGGCGAAAGCCUGACGCAGCGACGCCGCGUGGAUGAAGAAGGCCCUCGGGUUGUAAAGUCCUGUGGGGAGGGAAGAAUAAGGUAUGGUCAAUACCCAUGCCGAUGACGGUACCUCCUUAGCAAGCACCGGCUAACUCUGUGCCAGCAGCCGCGGUAAUACAGAGGGUGCAAACGUUGUUCGGAAUUACUGGGCGUAAAGCGCGUGUAGGCGGCAAUGCAAGUCGGGUGUGAAAGCCCUGGGCUCAACCGAGGAAGUGCACUCGAAACUGCAUAGCUAGAGUUCUGGAGAGGAUGGUGGAAUUCUUGGUGUAGAGGUGAAAUUCGUAGAUAUCAAGAGGAACACCUGUGGCGAAGGCGGCCAUCUGGACAGUAACUGACGCUGAGACGCGAAAGCGUGGGUAGCAAACAGGAUUAGAUACCCCUGUAGUC
rnacentral:rRNA from 1 species